UACGAAGGGGGCUAGCGUUGCUCGGAUUUACUGGGCGUAAAGGGCGCGAAGGCGGACAGUUAAGUUGGGGGUGAAAGCCCCCGGCUCAACUGGGGAGGGUCACGCGAUACUGGUCGACUCGAAGGCAGGAGAGGGUAGUGGAAUUCCCGGUGUAGUGGUGAAAUGCGUAGAUAUCGGGAGGAACACCAGUGGCGAAGGCGACUACCUGGCCUGUUCUUGACGCUGAGGCGCGAAAGCUAGGGGAGCAAACGGG
rnacentral:rRNA from 1 species